CGCGGGAAAUCUUACCGGGUCCGGACACANUGAGGAUUGACAGGCAAUAUAUUAGCAUAAAGACUCGUCUUUAGCGCUAAUUGUUAAAUAUGCUAGUCCUUUCAUGAUUAUGUGAUAGGUGGUGCAUGGCCGUUCUUAGUUCGUGGAGUGAUCUGUCUGCUUAAUUGCGUUUCACUAAGGGCCCAUAAAUUCAAGGUAUGUUAGCAAAUGCUGCUCUAUUGACCCCUAAUAGGCUUAACUGUCUUUAGCGCGUGUCUCUACGAGUUCUUUAAAGCACUGCGCAUGCUGUUGGGUCCUGAAAGCAACGAACGUGACCGCAACGUCUUGUUGCCUCUCUAUAAUACCUUCUUAUUUUUAAUAAGAGUAUUUACCUGAGGCUAUUUUAAAACUNGACGGACCGCUGUUUCUUUCUUAAACCANAGGAAGGUUGCGGCAAUAACAGGUCUGUGAUGCCCUUAGAUGUUCCGGGCUGCACACGUGCUACAAUGAUCAGUACAGUGAGCAUCUCAAUUUUAUAACACCGUAUUAAGCGCUUGGGUCGUAAUUGUUAGGCCUUUUAGGUUUUUUCAAUUGCGUUUCUCCAAUGCGCACGGUAAAGCCUGCUUCGAGAGUAAGUGGGUAAUCCAUUGGAAGUAAUGAUUUCCUUAUUUUUAUAAACAGCACACCAAUAUACGGCAUUCAUUCCCGAGACGGCUUAGUUCCGACUUUGUGCGAAUGUAAUGUAUUCUUAUCCGUAUGUGCGAUUGUCAAUUCAUGGUGGGGACAGACCAUUGUUAAUUGUUGGUCUCGGUCUUAACUAGGAAUGCCUUGUACGGGUCUUUGGUUCAACAAACCACCC
rnacentral:rRNA from 1 species